rnacentral:rRNA from 1 species
ACGCUCGACACCUACGGGAUGCAGCAGUGGGGAAUAUUGCACAAUGGGGGAAACCCUGAUGCAGCGACGCCGCGUGGAGGAAGAAGGUCUUCGGAUUGUAAACUCCUGUUGUUGGGGAAAAAGNGGAUGGUACCCAACAAGGAAGUGACGGCUAACUACGUGCCAGCAGCCGCGGUAAUCUGAGCGGGCUGGCAAGGC